rnacentral:rRNA from 1 species
UACGGGGGGGGCAAGCGUUGUUCGGAAUUACUGGGCGUAAAGGGCUCGUAGGCGGCCAACUAAGUCAGACGUGAAAUCCCUCGGCUUAACCGGGGAACUGCGUCUGAUACUGGAUGGCUUGAAUUCGGGAGAGGGAUGCGGAAUUCCAGGUGUAGCGGUGGAAUGCGUAGAUAUCUGGAGGAACACCGGUGGCGAAGGCGGCAUCCUGGACCGGCAUUGACGCUGAGGAGCGAAAGCCAGGGGAGCAAACGGG